rnacentral:rRNA from 1 species
GACAGAGGUGCCGAGCGUUAGGCGGAAUCACUGGGCUUAAAGCGUGUGUAGGCGGAUCGUUAAGUGUCUUGUGAAAUCCCACGGCUCAACCGUGGAAUGGCUGGGCAUACUGGCGAUCUUGAGCGGCCUAGGGGCAGAUGGAACAAGUGGUGGAGCGGUGAAAUGCGUAGAUAUCACGUGGAACGCCAAUGGUGAAAACACCUCGCUGGGGAAGUGCUGACGCUGAGACACGAAAGCCAGGGGAGCGAACGGG